rnacentral:rRNA from 1 species
CACGUAGGGUGCGAGCGCUGUCCGGAAUUAUUGGGCGUAAAGAGCUCGUAGGCGGUUUGUCGCGUCGGGAGUGAAAACCUCGGGCUUAACUCGGGGCUUGCUUUCGAUACGGGCAGACUAGAGGUAUGCAGGGGAGAACGGAAUUCCUGGUGUAGCGGUGAAAUGCGCAGAUAUCAGGAGGAACACCGGUGGCGAAGGCGGUUCUCUGGGCAUGAUCUGACGCUGAGGAGCGAAAGUGUGGGGAGCGAACAGG